CACGUAGGGGGCGAGCGUUGUCCGGAUUUAUUGGGCGUAAAGGGCUCGUAGGCGGCUCAGUAAGUCGGGUGUGAAACCUCCAGGCUCAACCUGGAGACGCCACUCGAUACUGCUGUGGCUAGAGUCCGGUAGGGGAGCAUGGAAUUCCUGGUGUAGCGGUGAAAUGCGCAGAUAUCAGGAGGAACACCAGUGGCGAAGGCGGUGCUCUGGGCCGGAACUGACGCUGAUGAGCGAAAGCGUGGGGAGCAAACGGG
rnacentral:rRNA from 1 species